UGAAGCAUCUGCACCCUCC
rnacentral:piRNA from 1 species